CCUGAGUGCUGGGAUUAAAGGCGUGUGCCACCACUGCCUGGUCAUAAACAACUUUUUAAAAAAUGUGUUCUUUUGGAAUGCAAAAAAUGCUACUCAGAACACAGUUGACUUUACAUAUCCACCACACGAAACAACUAUGACAGAACUGAAACUAAGAAAAAAAUGCUCCUCCCUCAUGCCUCCUGUGACCUUUGGCCUACAGUCCACCCUCUCUUAUCACCUAAUAUUCUCUUGAUCUCCUCUUUAAAUUUUAGACUAUAUGUAGCGAUUCCUUUUACACAUGCGCAUGAAUACAUUACCCGCUGUGACUGGAAUGUGACAGAGAACAUGUUUUGGAGCACCUUGUGUAAUGUUAUACUUUCCAGGUCUAUCCAUUUUCCUGAACACAGCUCACAAUUUCGUUUGUAAACUGCUUGAGGAGCGUUCUGUGUAUAAAUACACCACAUUUGCAUCAUCCAUCCGUCUGUGGAUGGACAUCUGUUCUGGUUCCAUGUCCUUGCUCUUGUGACUAGUACAACAAUAAACACGAGCGCACAAACAUUUUUGCAAUAGAGCAUGGAGAUUGUUGGUCAAUGCCCAAGAGUGUGAUGAGUGGGCCAUAGGUCAGUUCUCCAGUUUUGGAGGAACCUGUAGUGGGAGGCUGCAGACAGGCUGCAGGAUUCGGUUGCUGUUCCCUGUUCCAGCAGAGGAUUUUGAUCUAAGCCAUCAACUGUCAACAGUGGGAGUGUGUACUGGACAGUUUGAAGUCAACAAACCAGAGUCAUCAGAGAGGAAUGAGCAUCAAUUGAGAAAAUACCUCUAUAAGAUUGGGUUUUAGGUAAGCCUAGAGGGCAUCUUCUCAAUUAGAGAUUGCCCGGGAUCUAAGAUUGAGUGGAUCAACCUUAGGAUGGUGGUCCUGGGUUCUAUAAGAAAGCAGGUCGAGCAGUCACCAGGAGCAAGCCAGUAAGCAGCACCCCCUGUGGCCUCUGCAUCAGCUCCUGCCUUCAGGUUCCUGCCCUGCAUCACAUGGAAGUAGCAAUCCUAACUAAGACAGUGUUGUGGGUUUCUUGGCGAUAGCCGUCUUGAGUGGGAUGAGGUGGCAUCUUGGAGUAAUUUUAAUUUGCAUUUCCCCAGUGACUGGGGAUGGUGAGCCCUUUAAAAUAGUUCUUGUUUCUGUGUGUGUUUCUUCUGUUUACAGCUCUGCUCGAUUCAUUAGCCCAUCUGUUGUUCCGCCAUUUUAUUUCCUUGAUGUUUCAUCUCUGCAGUCCUUGAUGAACUCUGGAUAGGAGCCUCACCCGAGGUCCAGCUGACCAAGGCUUUCCCCGCGCGGUGGGCUGUGUGACGGUUCCACUGGCGUUGCCUUUGCCACGCAGGAACUUGUUUUCACGUUGUCCUGUGUGUUGAUGCUUGAGGCUGGUUCCUGUGCCAUUCCUGUUCUAUUCAGGUAGUUCUUGCCUACCCCAGGGCCUUGAGGAAUAGUCCUUAUGUUUUCCUUCAGAACUUUUAGCAUUUCAGGUUUUAAAUUAAGGUCUUUAAUCACCUCAUGUUCAUCUU